rnacentral:tRNA from 13 species
AAAACUGAUGAGAGGGCGACGAGGAGGGUUGGUUCGAUUCCCUC